CAGUCGCCGCGGUAAUACGAAGGGGGCUAGCGUUGCUCGGAAUGACUGGGCGUAAAGGGCGCGUAGGCGGCUGACACAGUCAGAUGUGAAAUUCCUGGGCUCAACCUGGGGACUGCAUUUGAGACGUGUUGGCUUGAGUGGAGAAGAGGGUCGUGGAAUUUCCAGUGUAGAGGUGAAAUUCGUAGAUAUUGGAAAGAACACCGGUGGCGAAGGCGGCGACCUGGUCUUUAACUGACGCUGAGGCGCGAAAGCGUGGGGAGCAAACAGGAUUAGAUACCCCGGUAGUCCCUGUCUCUUAUAC
rnacentral:rRNA from 1 species